AMRGKYUWWAAKRKUGGUYUCCCCCGGMCCUSUUUUYCCCGCUSCCCCCSSCCKMMUGKGUGAUKRAUWUYUUUYYSWWGMRCCCUUAGAGUUUGAUCCUGGCUCAGAACGAACGCUGGCGGCGUGCUUAACACAUGCAAGUCGAACGUGAUCCGGAGCUUGCUCCGGUGAAAGUGGCGCACGGGUGAGUAACGCGUGGAUAAUCUGCCCUGGUAUCUGGGAUAACAUCUCGAAAGGGGUGCUAAUACCGGAUAAGCCUACGGACUCUUCGGAGUCUGCAGGAAAAGGUGGCCUCUAUUUAUAAGCUACCGUAUCAGGAUGAGUCCGCGUACCAUUAGCUAGUUGGUGGGGUAAUGGCCCACCAAGGCUACGAUGGUUAGCUGGUCUGAGAGGAUGAUCAGCCACACUGGAACUGAGACACGGUCCAGACUCCUACGGGAGGCAGCAGUGGGGAAUUUUGCGCAAUGGGGGAAACCCUGACGCAGCAACGCCGCGUGAGUGAUGAAGGCUUUCGGGUCGUAAAGCUCUGUCAGAGGGGAAGAAAUGAGACUGGCUAAUAUCCAGUUUUCUUGACGGUACCCUCAAAGGAAGCACCGGCUAACUCCGUGCCAGCAGCCGCGGUAAUAC
rnacentral:rRNA from 1 species